rnacentral:rRNA from 1 species
UGAGGAAUAUUGGUCAAUGGGGGAAACCCUGAACCAGCGACGCCGCGUGUGGGACGAAGGAGCUUUGCUCUGUAGACCACUGUUGGAAGGGAAGAAAAGCAGCUUUUAGCUGCCGGGACUGUACCUUCAAAGAAAGGAUCGGCUAACUACGUGCCAGCAGCCGCGGUAAUACGUAGGAUCCGAGCGUUGUCCGGAAUCACUGGGUGUAAAGGGUGCGCAGGCGGAUUUGAACGUCAGAGGUUAAAUGUCACCGCUUAACGGUGAACCUGCCUUUGAAACGGCAAGUCUUGAGUAUGAGAGAGGUAAGUAGAAUUCCUGGUGUAGCGGUGAAAUGCGUAGAUAUCAGGAGGAAUACCAGUGGCGAAGGCGGCUUACUGGCUCAUAACUGACGCCCAGGCACGAAAGCGCGGGGAGCAAACAGG